AGUGAACGCUGGCGGUAGGCCUAACACAUGCAAGUCGAACGGCAGCACAGUAAGAGCUUGCUCUUACGGGUGGCGAGUGGCGGACGGGUGAGGAAUACAUCGGAAUCUACUUUUUCGUGGGGGAUAACGUAGGGAAACUUACGCUAAUACCGCAUACGACCUACGGGUGAAAGCAGGGGAUCUUCGGACCUUGCGCGAUUGAAUGAGCCGAUGUCGGAUUAGCUAGUUGGCGGGGUAAAGGCCCACCAAGGCGACGAUCCGUAGCUGGUCUGAGAGGAUGUCAGCCCACAUUGAACUGAGACACGGUCCCGGCUACGUAGUUAGGGCGCAGUGGGGAAUAUUUGGCAACGGGGGGAAAGCUUAUCCAAUCCUUCCGCGGUGGUGGAAGAAGCCCUUCGGGUGGAAAACCCCUUUUUUGGGAAAAAAAAGCAGCAGGGUAAUAACCCGCCUGUCUGGCGGUAACCAAAAAAAAAGCACCGGCUAACUUCGUG
rnacentral:rRNA from 1 species